GAGCUUGUAAUGCGAAGAGGUUGAACGUAGCGGAUGGUAGCAAACAUCUGCACGAAGCGAGAUUGCUUAUUCGUGGAUACAGCGCAGGUUCGAAUCCUGUCAAGCUCGA
rnacentral:tRNA from 2 species